UACGGGGGGAGCAAGCGUUGUUCGGAUUUACUGGGCGUAAAGGGCGCGUAGGCGGCCAGCACAAGUCAGUUGUGAAAUCUCCGAGCUUAACUCGGAAAGGUCAACUGAUACUGUGCGGCUAGAGUGCGGAAGGGGCAACUGGAAUUCUUGGUGUAGCGGUGAAAUGCGUAGAUAUCAAGAGGAACACCUGCGGCGAAGGCGGGUUGCUGGGCUGACACUGACGCUGAAGCGCGAAAGCCAGGGGAGCGAACAGG
rnacentral:rRNA from 1 species